rnacentral:rRNA from 1 species
AUUGAACGCUGGCGGCAGGCCUAACACAUGCAAGUCGAGCGAGCGGCGGACGGGUGAGUAAUGUAUGGGGACUGCCCGAUAGAGGGGGAUAACUACUGGAAACGGUGGCUACUACCGCAUACUAUCGGAUAACCCAUAUGGGAUUAGCUAGUAGGUGGGGUAAAGGCUCACCUAGGCGACGAUCUCUAGCUGGUCUGAGAGGAUGAUAGGCCACACUGGGACUGAGACACGGCCCAGAAUCCUACGGAGGCAGCAGUGGGGAAUAUUGCACAAGGGGCGAAAGCUUGAGGCAGCCAUGCAGCGUGUAUGAAGAAGGCUUUAGGGUUGUAAAGUACUUUCAGCGGGGAGGCUUUACCCAAAGAAGAAGCACCGGCUAACUCCGUGCCAGCAGCCGCGGUAAUAC